GUCAGUAAAUAAUUUUACCUCGAAAUCAAUCGUGAAUGUUGUGGUAAAAUUAAACUGUGAAACGUUUCACCCUUAACUUUCAUCUAGUUCACCAAGUAGUGCGGGCAUUGUGCUAAACGAGGUGCUGUGAAGGGCUGUGAUUGGGGCGAUUGCGAUCGAGUAAACAUGGUGGACGUAGCCCGACAACUGCUGGAUGAGCUCAUGGGCAGGAACCGCAAUCUGGAUCCUUCUUCCUCGGCCAAAGAAGUUUCGUGGGUUGAUGAAGAGUUCUGUCCGUACUUCUUGGUAAAGUUCUGUCCGCACGAUUUAUUUGUAAACACUCGGGCAGAUUUGGGUCAAUGUACCAAACUGCACGACGAUGAGGCAAAACGGUUGUACGAUGAAGCCAAACCGUGCCGCAAGAAAGCGCAGUACGAAGAAGACUUCCUACGGUUCUGUACCAAUAUGAUCAACGAAGUUGAUCGUAAGAUUUCGAAAGGUAAGCAAAGACUUCUUCUCAUGAACAGCAAAACGGAUACUGGACGAUCCGUGCCGAAGCAUCAAGAGCAUCUGAACACGUUGACGGAGAAAAUAAACAAACUAGUACGGGAAGCCGAAGAAGCCGGGACGCGUGGCGACGUGGAGCAAGCCCAGGGUUUGAUGGAACAGUGUGAUAAGCUGAAAGAGGAGAAAGACGUUCUGGUGAAGCAACAUGAAUCAAACGGCUGGUCUGUGACGGCCGAAAUUGCGGCUUCGCAAGAAAAACAGAUGGAAGUUUGCGAAGUUUGUGGUGCAUUUUUAAUCGUCGGAGACGCCCAGCAACGGAUCGACGAUCACCUGACGGGAAAGCAGCAUCUUGGGUAUUCAAAAUUACGUAAAGCGGUAGACGAGAUGUACGAAGCGAGAAGAAAAAACACCAUCAAUAUAGAAGAACGCCGCUCCCGUGAUGAUGACCGCCGGAGGCGAGAGAACCCUAGACGUGAGGAGCGAAAAUCUCGAGAACGUGACGAGCGUCACAACAGUAGACGAGACGAUCGAGAUCGCAAUCGUUACCGACGAGAUCAUCGUGACCAUAAAGAGCGCAACGAUCGCCACGAUAAUCGUCAGCGUGAUCGUAAUUACAGACGGGAUCGCAACGAGCGCAGUGAACGAGAGCGGGACCGUGAACGAGAUCGCAGUCGUAGUCGCAGCUAUUAGGUUCCCGUUUUAUGCACUGAAUGGAAGCACUGCGACUGUGCGGUACAACGAUGUGCACACCGGUUGUGUAAUUCCCCGGGCAUAUCUUCUACAAAACCGUCUCGUUUAUCUUGAGGUAUCCCCACUAAGAAUAGAAAACAAAAGCAAAAAAAUCCAAAUAUGACCAAUACACAAAAACCGAUAAACUAUCGAAACCCCUCUAGGAUCGUAAGUAGACUUUUAUUUAUCUUCCAAAACUGGUGCAGCACUGUAUUCCUGCAAAUGCGACAAUGGAACUGAAGCGAAGGUAAUGGCGGGACGGCCCAUUCCGACGUAGAAACAAUUUUCUUUCUGCACACCCAAAACACGGCAGGUAGCGUGAUUUAAAAAAUCAUUUUAAAUGUAAGAAACAUUCACCUUUCUGAGCCCAACGGUUCCGAUAUCCCAAGCUGUAGAUCAACAAAAUAGAGGACAAGUAGUUUAAUAAAAUUUAACGAAUUGAGAAGCUAGUUGACGAUUUUAGCACGCAUACAGAUCGUGGUUCUGUUCUCAACUGUCUCGCCAUACAGAGGAGUCAUCAUUCGCGGUGGAUGGACUCUACCCAUACAUAAUUCGUCAUUAUUUCCCACGAACUGGCAAAAUCUGGAAACGGUUCUUUGCAGUAAUACAAACUGUACUAUUUAUUCGCCACCGGCAACAUGUUUAGCAGCGUGGACCACGCUGGAUUGGUAGGAUUGAACGUAGGUGUGAGCGCUUUCGCUUCGUGAGCAAUAACAAAAAAGUUGUGCCUUGUGCAAGUUGUCAAUAACGGAAAGUGUGGCACAACAUGGAUCGGCACGGGUUUAGUAAUCGAAUGAACGAGGUAAUCAGUGUCGCAAAAAGUGUCGCGUUUAAAGCCAAUGGUUAUAGCUUUUUAUUAACAUUGUCCAGAAAGUUUGCAGAAAUUCUACGAGACACUGCUGAAGCCGUUGAAGAGGUGCAUUUGAACUUGUGUUGGCGCACCCAAGAGCAAAGGUUAUAAAGUAAGGGAGACGACCUAAAAAUACUCUUUCAUUACACUCAUAAUUUGUAGUUUGACCACAUGGUGUAAAAGAUCAUUUUAAGGCUGAACUAAAGCCUAAUUAAGCACCAUACUUUUUAACAAAUUUGGAAACGAAGGACAAUGUGAAACUGUAAAAUGUAUCCACUGCAAAGGUAAAAUAGUUUUCGGUGUGCUUCGACUCAUGCAAGUUCAUUAGUGUAAGGUGUUUAAAAACGUUCGUACCCCGAAAAACCCUUCCAUACUCCACGUUCGUUGUGUUAGGCACGUCAGUUAUUCAGAAAACACAACGGAGGGCAAGUGCAGAAACCGGGCCACAGAUUGAAAGAUCGUCCCCACCGGUCGGCCCAUUUGUCAGAAAACAAAUCGCUUUAGACGUUGCUAUGUUAUAAUUUUACUCCAGGUAUUCAGCGUAUAAAUUUUUCUCUCCAAUUUUCCAAGCAAA